UGAUACCAUGAUGAAUAUUUCUGCUUAAUAAUUUAUUAUUUUUAAAAUGUAUGUGUCUGAUCAAAGAAUAUGUUAAUGCAAUAUUGAUUGUAUAAUUUCAAAAUAUAUACAUCCUGAGAAACUAAUAAAAUUCAUUGAAAUGGUAUAAUAUCAUAAAGAAAUCGAAGUAUUCUCAGAUUUUGUAUAUCAAUGAAAGAAGUCUAUCCGUGCAUGACUUAAAUAUGUACAUUUUUUAAUAAGAAAUGGUACAAAAAGUGCUGGCAUACAUAAAAUGUAUUUUCAAACAAUCUUUUAGAUUUUAGAACUUUGCAUUUUGUGUACAGUGAAUAUUAAUUUUAUCAUAUGACUUAUAUCAAGAUAAAUCAUGUAUUUUAAUAUCAUGUAUUUUUGUGCAAAUAUCCUAUCCUUUUCAACAGCCUAAGAACAUUAAGAAGAAUAUUAGAACGGCAAAACCUUCACAGAAGACAGACAUUGGACACUUACUUAGUUGGUGCAGCUCUUUUGUUUGAAAUACAAGGAAGUGGUCAGCGUCUUGGAUGCAGAAUAAUGGGUCAAAGGACUGUUAUUCAUUUAUAAUGGUUAUAAGAGAGAUGUUUCUGUAUUUGAAUGAAAAUAUGGCCUUGAGCAUUAUCAAUUUUGCUAUGAUUAAAGUAUACAUUGACUCACAAGUGAGUAAUUAGAAAGCUACAAAAUUACUGCAUAAUACGUUCAAUCAAGUCAUAAAAUAUAUCUUAAUCAUUAUCAGUUAAAAAUUAAAAUUUAUAAUAUAAGUUCUUUAUGCAACAAAUUUUGUCUGGGAGUAAGAAGUUUUAUAAAAUAUAUUCAUUUUCAAGAAUAAAUGUGUUAACAGAAUUCAACAGAAUAAACAUAAUUCUUCGUUUGAUGCAUGAAAUGGACCCUGAUAUUGUUAACAUGAGGAGAAGAAAUUCCCGUAUCAUAAUCUGGGACCAAAUUUUAUGAUACAUGUUGAUGGUUAUGAUAUGGACUCGCAAUUCAUGGAGCAAUUUGUGGGUACUAGAGAUCAUAAAUUUUCUUCCAAUUAUUCAGAUUCGGAAAACAUGGAAGCUACAGUUUCUAACCACCCAAUCUAUGGAUAAAACGCUGAACAGUUCAAACAGUUACUGGCAAACAAUGGUAAAGAAAUGCCAUCUUCAUGUAAUAAAGCAUUAAGUCUAUACCAGUGGCUGAAACUUCGUGUUUAAAGGACAUAUAUGAUUGUAUUAUCACAAACGGUGUAGGCCAUUAAUGUAUAAUGUAUAUCACCAUUUACAUGCUGAGGACUUUGAUUAUAUUUCAACAAGCUUAUUGUGUAAGAAGAAUACCAUAGCAAAUGAGCAAACUUUAUUAUUUUUUAUCAUAGAAAUUUACAAAAGACAUGUAAUAUUAAAAUUUGAAUUAAAACCCAAGACAAAAUAAAAUACUUGAAAAUGCUGUCAUAUUGUUACAAGUUUCAGAAAUCUCUACAAUAGAACUUCUCACAUAAAAAUGAUUUUGGCCAAGAUAACGAGUGGUCAACGCGUCGGACUAGUAAUCUUAUGAUCGCUAGCCGCAUGGAUUCAAACACAGACAGGGGCAAGUUGUUGUUUCCUUGAGCAAGAAACUUUACACUCAUUGCUCAGUACUGGUUGGUUCCAGGAACGGAUUCGAAAGUGUGUUUAUAAGCUAAUGGCUUCCUAGACAAUCGAACUAAAAUAAAUUCUGUAUAAACCAACAAUGGCUAGCCUCAUUAACAAAAGCUCCACUUACUACAUUUCUAUAGUUGACCAGGACAAAUACGUAAUAUUUGCAGAAUCUGAAGUUGGAAGCAAUAUCAUUGACUGAGAAGAAUAUUAAG